rnacentral:piRNA from 1 species
UGGAUUGAAAGGGGCACAGAGCACAGGCUCU